rnacentral:lncRNA from 1 species
CUUCCAUCACCGUUCAUACUGGUCAAAUCUCUCUCCUCCUUCUACACCCCUCUCUCUCUCUCCUAUUCCAAACCUCCUCUUUCUUUCACGCUGAGGAUGAAGAGGUCUCCUCAGUAUGUUUUCCUUUAACGCUAUGACUUUUGACGACACCCACUCUAAACUUGUGUAUAGAUCUAUCCCACUACCCCAUUCGUCUCCUCCUCUUCUCUCUCUCUCUCUCUGCUCUCUAUCCAUGCCUUUGUCUUAAUACGAAAAAAUUCAUUUUACUUUUACUUUUUUUGUAUAUGUGUCUAUAUUAUUCAUAAGCCAUUGUAAAAAGUUUUGCAAUGUGUAUUUGCCAUA